UACCAGCACCCCGAGUGGUCGGGACGUUUUAUUGGGCCUAAAGCAUCCGUAGCCGGUUCUACAAGUCUUCCGUUAAAUCCAACUGCUUAACAGGUGGGCUGCGGAAGAUACUAUAGAGCCAGGAGGCGGGAGAGGCAAGCGGUACUCGAUGGGUAGGGGUAAAAUCCGUUGAUCCAUUGAAGACCACCAGUGGCGAAGGCGGCUUGCCAGAACGCGCUCGACGGUGAGGGAUGAAAGC
rnacentral:rRNA from 1 species